UACGUAGGGGGCAAGCGUUGUCCGGAAUUACUGGGCGUAAAGCGCCUGUAGGCGGGAACGUGCGUCGGACGUGAAAGGCGGGGGCUUAACCCCCGAGCGGCGUUCGAAACGGCGUUUCUUGAGGGUCGAAGAGGAGCGUGGAAUUCCUGGUGUAGCGGUGGAAAUGCGUAGAGAUCAGGAGGAACACCCAUGGCGAAGGCAGCGCUCUGGUCGGCAUCUGACGCUGAGAGGCGAAAGCGUGGGGAGCGAACGGG
rnacentral:rRNA from 1 species